rnacentral:rRNA from 1 species
GGGCAACAUUUCACGUUGUCCGUGCCGCAGCUAACGCAUUAAGUGCCCCGCCUGGGGAGUACGGCCGCAAGGCUAAAACUCAAAGGAAUUGACGGGGGCCCGCACAAGCGGCGGAGCAUGUGGCUUAAUUUGACGCAACGCGAAGAACCUUACCAAGGCUUGACAUACACCGGAAACGUCCAGAGAUGGGCGCCCCCUUGUGGUCGGUGUACAGGUGGUGCAUGGCUGUUGUCAGCUUGUGUCGUGAGAUGUUGGGUUAAGUCCCGCAACGAGCGCAACCCUUGUCCCGUGUUGCCAGCAAGCCCUUCGGGGUGUUGGGGACUCACGGGAGACCGCCGGGGUCAACUCGGAGGAAGGUGGGGACGACGUCAAGUCAUCAUGCCCCUUAUGUCUUGGGCUGCACACGUGCUACAAUGGCCGGUACAAUGAGCUGCGAUACCGCGAGGUGGAGCGAAUCUCAAAAAGCCGGUCUCAGUUCGGAUUGGGGUCUGCAACUCGACCCCAUGAAGUCGGAGUCGCUAGUAAUCGCAGAUCAGCAUUGCUGCGGUGAAUACGUUCCCGGGCCUUGUACACACCGCCCGUCACGUCACGAAAGUCGGUAACACCCGAAGCCGGUGGCCCAACCCCCUUGUGGGGAGGGAGC